AACGAACGCUGGCGGCAUGCCUAACACAUGCAAGUCGAACGAGACCUUCGGGUCUAGUGGCGCACGGGUGCGUACCGCGUGGGAACCUGCCCUUAGGUUCGGAAUAACUCCCCGAAAGGGGUGCUAAUACCGGAUAAUGUCUUCGGACCAAAGAUUUCUCGCCUUUGGAUGGGCCCGCGUUGGAUUAGCUAGUUGGUAGGGUAAAAGCCUACCAAGGCGACGAUCCAUAGCUGGUCUGAGAGGAUGAUCAGCCACACUGGGACUGAGACACGGCCCAGACUCCUACGGGAGGCAGCAGUGGGGAAUAUUGGACAAUGGGCGAAAGCCUGAUCCAGCAGUGCCGCGUGAGUGAGGAAGGCCUUAGGGUUGUAAAGCUCUUUUACCCGGGAUGAUAAUGACAGUACCGGGAGAAUAAGCUCCGGCUAACUCCGUG
rnacentral:rRNA from 1 species